GGUGAACGCUGGCGGCGUGCCUAAUACAUGCAAAUCGAGCGAACGGAUAAGGAGCUUGCUCCUUUGAAGUUAGCGGCGGACGGGUGAGUAACACGUGGGUAACCUACCUAUAAGACUGGAAUAACUUCGGGAAACCGGAGCUAAUACCGGAUAACACCGAAAACCGCAUGGUUUUCGGUUGAAAGGCGGCUUUUAGCUGUCACUGCAGGAUGGGCCCGCGGCGCAUUAGCUAGUUGGUGAGGUAACGGCUCACCAAGGCGACGAUGCGUAGCCGACCUGAGAGGGUGACCGGCCACACUGGGACUGAGACACGGCCCAG
rnacentral:rRNA from 1 species